rnacentral:rRNA from 1 species
UGCGUAGGCGGUGCGGAAAGUUGGGUGUGAAAGCCCUCGGCUCAACCGAGGAAUUGCGCCCAAAACUGCCGCACUAGAGGAAGACAGAGGUACGCGGAACUUAGGGUGGAGCGGUGAAAUGCGUUGAUAUCCUAAGGAACACCGGUGGCGAAAGCGGCGUACUGGGUCUUAUCUGACGCUGAGGCACGAAAGCUAGGGGAGCAACG